GUAAUUCCUUUUUCAGUGGUGAUGGAAGCUGUGAGCUUGCUAAAGCAACCCAGGAUGCUCAGUGUAUUUGCUACCAUUUUUAUUCCUUGCAGCAGUUCUCCACAGAACACACUGCAGACAGACAUCUGAGGAUCUUUUUUCCUCACAGAAUACACCAGAGCUGGAUGCUUGAGAAGAGAAAGUGCUAAAGGUUGACUUCAAUGGGAAUGUUCCCCGACAAAGGUGAAGAUUUGACCCAGAAAGGUUUGAGUUGGUUGGUUGUCUUCAUCUGAAUUCUCUGCUCAGAAGUCAUUAACCUCUUUUGCCCAUGUCUGUCACCGUCUGGCACAAUGCAUCUUCUUGCUAAAAGGGUGUGGUUUGCUUGCACUGAAGGUCACAGAAACUGAGGGAGCCUGAAGCUGCUUUAACACCCAGGAACAUCCAGAGCCCAGCUCACAACUGCUCCUAUCUGUGGAGGACCUCAUUGCCAAAGCUAUGCUAGACCACAACACCUUGGAGAAAAUUAACAGUUGGUACAAAAGGUGAGAAGUGUUACCGGGCCAAGGAAUGCUCUUGCCGGGAUACUCACUGGACAGUAAUGGGACAAGAGACGUGACAAAAACCAGUGUGAGACUAGACUAAAAUCUCUUGAUUUAUAGCUGUUGAAGCUGUAUAGAGGAAUGAAAACUUCCAAAAAUAAAUAAAUAUUCUAAAGAAAUCACAGGUUUGGACUUAACUUUACUAAUAAGAAAAAAGAAAGAGAAAAGAAAAGGGGAAUAAAAAAUAAAAUUGAAAUCUAAAAUUGAGAUGGAAGUGCAAUGAAGAUUUACUAGCAUGAAACUCAGGGUCCAUUGGCAAAAAAAGUUGAAAGACACAGAAAGAAAGGAAGAAAUGAGAAAGAC